GACGAACGCUGGCGGCGUGCUUAACACAUGCAAGUCGAACGGAAAGGCCCUGCUUUUGUGGGGUGCUCGAGUGGCGAACGGGUGAGUAACACGUGAGUAACCUGCCCUUGACUUUGGGAUAACUUCAGGAAACUGGGGCUAAUACCGGAUAGGAGCUCCUGCUGCAUGGUGGGGGUUGGAAAGUUUCGGCGGUUGGGGAUGGACUCGCGGCUUAUCAGCUUGUUGGUGGGGUAGUGGCUUACCAAGGCUUUGACGGGUAGCCGGCCUGAGAGGGUGACCGGCGACAUUGGGACUGAGAUACGGCCCAGACUCCUACGGGAGGCAGCGGUGGGGAAUAUUGCACAGUGGGCGGAAGCCUGAUGCAGCAACGCCGCGUGCGGGAUGACGUCCUUCGGGUUGUAAACCGCUGUCGCCUGUGACGAAGCGUGAGUGACGGUAAUGGGUAAAGAAGCACCGGCUAACUACGUG
rnacentral:rRNA from 1 species